rnacentral:lncRNA from 1 species
GGAGCUUGCUCACAUCUCUGGUACUUCAGGCACUUCACAUGAAAACAGGAGAGCCGGUGUAGGAGGGAAGCUGUUCAGGAUCAA